AGUUUAAACGUUUAGUUCUUUGACAAUAUUAAUUCAACUUCAAUUCAAAAGUUGCAACAAAUUUUAAUUUAACUUAUUUAUUCCUUUGUUAGCAUUAAAAUGUUUAGAAAAUUAUCGUUCCCACGAAACUUUCCAAGAACUGUUAAAAACGUUAUAAAUCGCCAAAUUGGGUGGUCGAAAGGCCAUGUGUUUUAACAAGUGGAUAUGCAAAGAUAUGGGGGUUGGCGACGGCCUGGCUCUGCACCACAGUCGCCCAGCUAAUCCAAUGAUUUUCUCACAAAAGCAUAAUUAAUUUACUUUCGUUUAAAAUAGCCAAAAUUUAUUGAUAAACCUAAAAUUAAAUCCAAAAUUUUGUUUAGAAAUUAACUAGUCACGUUUCAAAAAGAAAGGAAUUUAUGAGCCAAUUUAAGGCACGUUGAUGAUCAGUAAACAACUCGAGAAAGAAUCAAAAUUUCAUCUUAUUCAAAAAUUCCCGUAACGUUUCGUACCAAAAAGUUGAGUCUUUAUGCAGUGUACUCCAGUCAUCAAAUAAAAUUGAAUAAUUUAUUUUAUUCGGCGUAAUUGUUAACAAAUUGUUGCAAAACUUCAAGAACGAAUUGGUCGAUUGAAAUUCAUGUCUGUUAACUAGAUUAGUAUAGCCAAAACGACGUUGGUCAAGUGCCGCUUGAAUAGGGGGUGUUGACAAAUUCGUUACAGAACAGAGCUUUUUAAAAGAAUAUCAAAUUACAAGCACACAUGUGCAUUCCUUAUAAGAAAUUGCAGCGAAAUUAACGUUUUCUUUGUUAAAUCAACAUCAGAUCACGAAACCAGUAGUUUAGAAAAACACGCGAAAUUUUUCUGAACAUUUUGAUGUAAAAUUUAACCCUAAUAUUUAAGGCGCAGCCGUCGAAAUUCGGAUGUAUAAAUCAUUCUAUUUAAUUAAAUUAUUGUAAGCAAAAAAAUUGCAUGACACGAUUGCUGCCCGUUACUAACAUAAUCCUAAGAGGAAAGUAGACAGGAAAAUCCCUAAGGAAAUUGGAGAAAAACGCGGAAAUGUUAAAAUAGUACCGGUGUAGUACUGGGGGCGACAUCUAACAACGGGUAGUACGACCAAAAUUACAGUUUCCUCACGGGGUUCUUCCUUAUAUUUUCUGUGUUAUUUAAACAAACAAAAUUUGUUGUUACACAAAAUUCAUUUCAUUGUGUUCCCAAAAACAACUUCAGACCUGACAACAACCAAUUUUGGAGUUUAAUUUCUCUUUCAGGAUAUUUGGGGAAAUUCCAUAGCGUUCUUGUAUUGUAUUCAGUUCAGAUCGACGAUUACCAAAUUUAAUGUUUAAUUAUAAUGAAAUUGUUAAUCGGAAAACACCCCAGCUGUUAAUUAAUAAUAAUAUUUAGAAAGUUAAACAAGGUUUGAUCAAAUGCCAAGACAUCAUAAGAGUCAGAUUUGCAAAAUUUCGCAUAUGUGGAAACUACUUAACAAGGGUAGUGGGGUAAGCGAGUUAGUGUAGCUUACGCAAGAUGAGCCCUUGACUUUAGGGGGGAUUCGAUUUUUGACGGUCUUUCGAGGUAGUCGAUUGUCGUGUUGCCCUUUAAAUUUUUAUAAAUUUAAAAACAUCUUCGUUUACCUUUUAGUGCGUCUAAAUUGUACUAAGUGCAUUUAAGCGUAAUUUUAAAUUAAAUUAAUUUAAAUUCUUGAAUUAAGUGAUAGCGUUAGUGAUUAGUGAGUAAGUUAAAAACGAGACAAGUUUAGUGUUCGUUCGAUUAGGUAGUGCUGCGAACUACAACACCUGGGAAGCAGCUAACCCCCUGCGUUAGGAGGAUUAAAAUUUCUAGGUAGGCCCUCAAAAGGAUUAAUUAAUUUUUUAUUCAUUUAAUAUUAUAAUAUUAAAUCAUUUAAGUCAUUUCGAAAUAGUGAUCAUUAUCAUUCAUUUCAUAAAUUCUCUCGUAACCACCAAGUUAUUAAGCAUCGGAAAUGCCGAAAAGACCAGUAAUUAUUUAAAUUCUUGUGCUUCGUACUACGUCAGCUAUAUAAAUUUUAAAUAAAUCAUUUUCAACUUAAAAUAACUCGCAACAAACAAUUUCAUAUUUUUCAAUUCAACCAUCCCACCUUUAAAUUACAAUAUUAAAAGUUCUUUAUAUUCUUUGCUUCUAACUUCUAAAUCUGUUACGACAAAUUUGAGUGAAACGGCAUCAAACAAAUAUUCAACUACAACAAAAGUCUAAAUCCAAAACCCACGGUGCUAGUCAAACUGUUGUACACAGAUAAUUUAAGGUUGCAUACACCAAAAUAUUACGAAAUAGAAGGAUUUGUUGCUAGUUAAGGAUAGGUUUAGAGUAGAACGAUUUCUCUUCCGCAACGCGUUAGGCGAUAAAGCAAAAGAGUGUUUCUCUUUUGCGUCCAGAUCAGAAAUUACAGGCUCGUGAGUUGGCCAUCUUCAUGGGAAGAGUCGUAGUCCCCGGGGACGCUCUUCCCCAACUUUAACAAGGUCUAAGACGCGGUGGCAGGUCGUAGUUUCCGCCCGUUGUACUUAGAAUGGACGUUGUAAUUCCCGUCCCAACGGCAAGUACUUCCACGUACUUGCAGGCUACUACGGACGAUCGAGCAGACAUAAUCAUCCGUGAUUAUCUGUAAUAAACUGAUAUCGCGACAUGGCAAAGUUCUGCACAAGUCUUUGUCAAAGCUCGUGGACGGAAAACUUUAGAGAGAAAUUACUUCUACAUUUAUUCAGAUUGAUUUGUAAAAGCUUGUAUGUCCGGGUUUUAUUCGUAAUUCAUUCUAGGUGUUGAUCACCUGACUUUUACCGGAGACGGAAUUUCGGCACUAGGGCGCAAAAUUCAAUGCGAUGCACGUAUCAAAGAUUCCGCGAGCAUGUUAUAAUCCGCCUUUGGUACAAGUAAUUUAGAAACGCGUUGUCAAUUGCCUGGAUCCUAUGAGUUCGAGCAAUAUCAUCUGAAACGUAGGUUAAUUUAUUUGGACAUUAUCGAAUUAAAUUAAUUCAUGUUAAAUAUUAACGUCAUAUCAUAUCAAUAAAACUUUUUCGUAUCACUCAGCAACUUCGAAACUAUUUACUUGGAAUUUCAAACGAAUUGUGGUUACGACUCUGAGAUAUGUUUUGACGACAUUACUAUACAAAAACAAAUAACAAUUGGCCAAAUUUGAUCAAACUUUCAUAACCAUUGAUUAUUGUAAUCCAUCCAACGGAAUAUUCAUUAUUCUUGUAAUAAAUAACUUUGGAGGAAACUUGUGGUUUAAAUUUCUUCUCCCAUGCGUUUUGACACUACUUUGAAUCCGGACUUGCGUUACGGAUAAAUCCGGAACCCUUUCUGAUAAGAAUUAAGAUCAAAUUACGAUAUCAUUAUAAGAGUGACUUCGUACAUCAAAACAACACAACGUAGGUAAGUGAAAUGAUCAUGUAGCGUAUCAAUUAACUAGACGAGCCAAACCAUUUCAAAAAAAGAAAACAAAAGUAAAAUUCAAGAUUAAUUAAAUAAAUCAAUUAAAAUAAGUUGUAAAUCAUUUAAACAUCGAUCAACCAUCAUCAAUCACAGUCUCACUACAGUACUUUGGGUUGUUGUGGCCACACUGAAGUACACAGCAUUUUGCAAUAUUUAGUGGUAUUUGCCACUUCUCGCUCCAUUGGAAGAUUAAAUUAAGUUGGUCUUGCAAGUCCGUGACAAGUGGGUUAGCAAAUAACUUAAUAUCAUCCGCAUAUGCUGAAUAGCUGUCCAGUGAAAACAAUAAAUCUGCUGUAUAUAACAAGAAUAAAAUUGGUCCAAGAACUGAUCCCUGUGGGACCCCACUUAAUACUGGUUUAGAGUACGAAAAUUUACCACAGACUUUUACACAAUAGUUUCGAUUUGAUAGAAACGCUCGGAUCCAAUCAAGCAAAUUUCCUGUUACACCAUAGGACUCCAGUUUUGCUAACAAGAGAUUGUGAGGGACUUUAUCAAAGGCUUUACUAAAAUCAAGGUAAAUUAUGUCUACAGGUUGGUUAGUGUCUAACAUUUUUGUCCAUAGAUUUGUGCAGGAUAGCAAAUUUGUGACAACUGACCUACCUGGUAAAAAGCCGUGCUGAUGCUCAGCAUGUCGACGUGAGACUUACAGGUCUAUAGUUAGCAGGAUCAAGUUUAUCUCCUGACUUGUACAAAGGCGUGAUUGUUGCUUGCAACCACUCGUAGGGCAAAGUGCCUUGUAAGAAUGAUUUUGUCAUCAUUUUGGCAAGUGGGCCCGACAACGAAGCAGCACAAGUUCUCAGGAGUUUGGGAGGUAUCUGAUCCGGACCUGGAGCUGUAUUUAAUUUAAUGGCACAGAGUUGGCUUUUUACCAGAUCCGGAGUAAAAUUAAUAUAAGACAACCCACUAAAUGUAGCAGCAAAACUGUCCGCUAAAGUGUUUGCAGUUUCUGUAUGAUCGGAGCAGAGUAGACCUGAAGCAUUUCGUACUAAAGGGACCGACACACGACUAGAGAUAAAUUUACGUACAUGGGAAUAAAAUAGUUUUGGUUUAUUUAAUAUAGAAUUUUCAUAAUUACACCUGGCUAUUUGUAAAUCAGAUUUUAGUUGGUUAGAAAAUCUUUUAUAAGCAGAAAAAUUAUCUUCAGUAGGCUUCCUUUUAAAUUUUUUCCAUAAUUUAGCUUUGUAUUUUAUUUUGUCAAGCAUGUGUUGAUUUAUCCACGGUUUAUCUUUUCUCAGUCGGUUUGUAAACAGUCUGGAAUUUGUUGUAAUGCAAGUUUGUAAAAUCGAUUUAAAAUGUUUCCAUUGUUCUUCCGCAUUUAGUGAAUCUAAACCAUUCCAGUCGUAAGUCAAGAGACUUUCGUCUAUGCGAGUGUAGUCAACAAUUGAUGUUGUUUUAAUUCUUGCAUUUGGCUCUGAAUAUAUCAUAAUUUGUAACUCAAUUUCGAUUUUUGAAUGAUCAGAUGUACCUACAGGAUUCGAAACGUUUAAAGACGAUACAAGGUUAACGUCAGACAAAAUUACCAAAUCAAGUAAUGAAGGACGUUGUUGGGAUCUAAAUCGUGUAGGUUCAGUGACUAUUUGUGACAAAUUAUUCUCCAAGAGCAAUUCAGAAAAUUGUUUUUCGAUGAUUGUUUGACCUGUUGUGUUUUUAGCAGACCAGUCUAUACAUGGAAAAUUGAAAUCUCCCAUGAUAAUUAAGUUAGGAUACUGAUUAAUAGUUGAUUGUAUGGUAUUAAAUAGAUUUUUAUCAUUUUCGUGAUUGUUAAAAGACGCUCCUGUUGGUGGUCUGUAAAUACAUGCUAUAACAAAGG